UAACUGCUAUCUCCACGACUCCGCCAUCAUUUAAAAUGCACCUAAAACUGAAAAACUGAAGAAGGUAUUUGAACAGUCCAAAAUCUCCAUGACUGAGGUAGAUGAGCCGCCGCUGUGUUUUACUUUAAAAACCUAGCCAGCCGUGCUUUCGCCACAUCUGUCCGACAUGCUACCCACUUCCACCGGCCAUUGCAUCGUCGGCCACCCCUUUCAUGGCAUCGCCGUCGUCCUCCGCCCCCGUUCAGGCCACCGGUGGCUCCCCGUCCCCUACAGCGCCGCUCGCUCUCCCCCGUCCCCCACACCUACAGCGCCGCUCGCUCCGUCCCCCACACGCCGCCGCCCCAUACGAAAGCCGGUCGGCCUGCCCCAGCAGAGGAGGAAUGCGUUGGGGCGUUGCUCCCCUGCCUCCUGCUCGGGCCGACACGCCAACGGGCGGAGCUGCCGCUGCACCGCUCCUGGAUUAGCCUCGAUGCCGCCUAUGCUGUAUAGGGAGAGAGUCAUCCUGCUUCCAUGUGACUUCUUUCGCAGCCGUCGGCUGCAGCUGAACGCAGAAAGCCUGCCUUUUGACGCUAGAGUGACAGACCGUCAAGGCAGGAUCGACCUUCAUAUGAGCCAAUCUUCAAGUCCUGAGAUAUAGAUGAUCAAGGUGAGGUACCAAUGAUUCCUUUUUAGCAUCUGAACUGUUUGUUUGUCCCUAAUUCAUUAAGUCUCUCACUAGAUUUUUGCGGAAGAGUGAUGAUGAUCAGUAGUGCUCAAGACCAAUAAAAGACCUGCACAUUGUUUUUCUGUGUAGUUGUGCACUCACCCAGAUCUAUGCAUGCAGGUGAUUCUUUCGUAAGAUUUGUGGCGACUGUUGUUGGUCUUCUGGAUUACACGUUUUUUUCAUGAGCUCUUUUACGGCGAUUGUCGAGUACUUUUCGGUACUCCUGUUAGAAUUAAUUUUGUCCAUUGAUUUAUACUUAACUAUUGGCCGUUUCUAUAUCUAUAUCUAUUCCUAAAAUCGCCAACCAUUGUAAAACUUGUAUUUUUUUUUCAUACCUGUACAAAUUCUCCAAGGGUAUUUCAUUAAUUGGAGUUGUUCUCACCCUACAUUGCGUGUUGACAUUUACACCUUGCGAGUUGUUUGCAGUGAAGAUUAUAGAGACAAGCCAUGCAACAAGAAGAUAUGCAUGUGUGUAUCACUGCGACAUCUAGCAAAAGUUUGGGCUGCAGUUAAAUUAUCUAACGAGGGGUUCUAUAUAUUCAUAUUAGGGAACUGUAUUUAUGUAUAGACAAUCCUUGUGUUUUGGCAUUGGUGGAUAGUUGAAUAAACUAUGGAAUCCAGUGUAUGUUGUUCUAUAUACAUGUUUAAUUUCAGUUACUAUAAGCAUUUUUGGGCUUUAGGUUUUUCUGAAUGA